GACGAACGCUGGCGGCGUGCCUAAUACAUGCAAGUCGAGCGCAGGAAAUCGACGGAACCCUUCGGGGGGAAGUCGACGGAAUGAGCGGCGGACGGGUGAGUAACACGUAAGGAACCUGCCCUCAGGUCUGGGAUAACCACGAGAAAUCGGGGCUAAUACCGGAUGGGUCAUCGGACCGCAUGGUCCGAGGAUGAAAGGCGCUUCGGCGUCGCCUGGGGAUGGCUUUGCGGUGCAUUAGCUAGUUGGUGGGGUAAUGGCCCACCAAGGCGACGAGGCAUAGCCGACCAGAGAGGGUGAUCGGCCACACUGGGACUGAGACACGGCCCAGACUCCUACGGGAGGCAGCAGUAGGGAAUCUUCCACAAUGGAUGAAAGUCUGAUGGAGCAACGCCGCGUGAACGAUGAAGGCCUUCGGGUCGUAAAGUUCUGUUGUAAGGGAAGAACAAGUGCCGCAGGCAAUGGCGGCACCUUGACGGUACCUUGCGAGAAAGCCACGGCUAACUACGUGCCAGCAGCCGCAGUAA
rnacentral:rRNA from 1 species